CCUACGGGUGGCAGCAGUAGGGAAUCUUCCUCAAUGGGCGAAAGCCUGAUGGAGCAACGCCGCGUGGGUGAAGAAGGUCUUCGGAUCGUAAAACCCUGUUGUUAGAGAAGAAAAUGCGUGUGAGUAACUGUUCACGUUUCGCCGGUUUCUCACCAGAAAGCCACGUCUAACUACGUGCCAGCAGCCGCGUUAAUACGUAGGUGUCAAGCGUUCUCCGGAUUUAUUUGGCGUAAAGGGAACGGAGGCGGUCUUUUAAGUCUGAUGGGAAAGCCUUCGGCUUAAGCGGAGUAGUGCAUUUGAAACUGGGAGACUUGAGUGCAGAAGAGGAGAGUGGAA
rnacentral:rRNA from 1 species